AUUUUAACAACAAUUUAUUGACACUGUUGAUAAGGUUUCUACUAUAGAUGCAAGAAAAAGAAGGUUCUUGUGCUUUCUGUCCAUCUUAUCUGGUUGUGGCAGCCCAGAUUGAAUGGGGGAAUACAGGA
rnacentral:snoRNA from 1 species